GAUGAACGCUGGCGGCGUGCCUAAUACAUGCAAGUCGAGCGAACGGAUGAGAAGCUUGCUUCUCUGAUGUUAGCGGCGGACGGGUGAGUAACACGUGGAUAACCUACCUAUAAGACUGGGAUAACUUCGGGAAACCGGAGCUAAUACCGGAUAAUAUUUUGAACCGCAUGGUUCAAAAGUGAAAGACGGUCUUGCUGUCACUUAUAGAUGGAUCCGCGCUGCAUUAGCUAGUUGGUAAGGUAACGGCUUACCAAGGCAACGAUGCAUAGCCGACCUGAGAGGGUGAUCGGCCACACUGGAACUGAGACACGGUCCAGACUCCUACGGGAGGCAGCAGUAGGGAAUCUUCCGCAAUGGGCGAAAGCCUGACGGAGCAACGCCGCGUGAGUGAUGAAGGUCUUCGGAUCGUAAAACUCUGUUAUUAGGGAAGAACAUAUGUGUAAGUAACUGUGCACAUCUUGACGGUACCUAAGCAGAAAACCACGGCUAACUACGU
rnacentral:rRNA from 1 species